rnacentral:tRNA from 2 species
GAGAGGUAUUAGUAAAAUUUAUAUAAUUUUGUCAAAAUUAAGUUAUAGGUGAAACCCCUAUAUACCUC